rnacentral:rRNA from 1 species
GACGAACGCUGGCGGCGUGCUUAACACAUGCAAGUCGAACGGAAAGGCCCUGCUUUUGUGGGGUGCUCGAGUGGCGAACGGGUGAGUAACACGUGAGUAACCUGCCCUUGACUUUGGGAUAACUUCAGGAAACUGGGGCUAAUACCGGAUAGGAGCUCCUGCUGCAUGGUGGGGGUUGGAAAGUUUCGGCGGUUGGGGAUGGACUCGCGGCUUAUCAGCUUGUUGGUGGGGUAGUGGCUUACCAAGGCUUUGACGGGUAGCCGGCCUGAGAGGGUGACCGGCCACAUGGGGACUGAGAGACGGCCCAGACUCCUACGGGAGGCAGCAGUGGGGAAUAUUGCAGAAUGGGCGGAAGCCUGAGGCAGCAACGCCGCGUGCGGGAUGACGGCCUUCGGGUUGUAAACCGCUUUCGCCUGUGACGAAGCGUGAGUGACGGUAAUGGGUAAAGAAGCACCGGCUAACUACGUG